AUUUUGGUGAAAAAUACCGAACUGAUAUUAUUAAAAACACUACUAUAAAAGCAGCCUCCCUCCACACUUCCUCCUAAACCAGCCGCAGCCAUCCCUAGCAGAAACCCUAACUCCCUCGAUCCCUCUCUUAGUCUCUUUAGCGCCGAAUCUCAGUGGAAGCUCCUCCUUCUUCUUCUCUUCCAUCGACGCCGCCGAACAGCACCAUCGCGGUGGCGCGGUCCUUUUCUCUUCCUCUCUCUUCUUCGUAGGCUCGUAGCGCUUCUCUUUCUCCCUCAUCCUCGACAGCUCCACACACCACCUCUCCAGCAGCCAUCUCCUCCACAAACCGCAGCAGCACGCACCAGACGCAGUCGAAGCCGCCGCCGUUCGUCGUUCGUCUCUCGUUUGCCGUUGAUCUGUCCAGUCUCUCUAGUCUUCGGUUCGUUGCCGCCACCGCCGUCUCACCAUCCUGCACCUCCGUCGUCCUCUAUAAUGGAGCCUAAGUCUCAGGGAAAGGGGAAGGUGAAAGAGGAAGAAUUUGUGGAAUUGGUGCACCACAUGAACAUUUUUGUAAUUAGUUUGGUUGUAUUUUUUAUUCAAUUUGGUUCUAUUUCUUGAUUCAGUUUGGAAUUGGUGCACCAUUUUUGCAAAAUUUUUGGAAUUAGUUUGGUUGUAUUUCUUGAUUUUCUUGAUUCAGUUCAAGUUGAUUAUUGUUCUAUCUGUUUCGCUGUUUUUGCAACAAAAUUGUUAAUGAUUUUAAUUUUUUGUGCUUCUGCUAAUUUGUUAGUGAUUUAUGAGUUAAGUUGAUCAUUGUUUCAUCUGCAUCUGCUGAUUUUGCGAAAUUGUUAAUUA